AAGCAUCUAAGCAUGAAGCCCCCCUCAAGAGGAGAUUUCCCAACUUCGGUUAUAAGAUCCCUCGAAGAUGACGAGGUUAAUAGGUUCGAGGUGGAAGCGUGGUGACACGUGGAGCUGACGAAUACUAAUCGAUCGAAGACUUAAUCAAUUUUUAAA
rnacentral:rRNA from 1 species